AUAAGCGGAGGAAAAGAAACUAACAAGGAUUCCCCUAGUAACUGCGAGUGAAGCGGGAAAAGCUCAAAUUUAAAAUCUGGCGGUCUUUGGCUGUCCGAGUUGUAAUUUAGAGAAGCGUCUUCCGCGCCGGACCGUGCACAAGUCUCCUGGAAUGGAGCGUCAUAGAGGGUGAGAAUCCCGUCUUUGGCAUGGAUCCCUGGUGCUUCUGUGAUGCGCUCUCGAAGAGUCGAGUUGUUUGGGAAUGCAGCUCAAAAUGGGUGGUGAACUCCAUCUAAAGCUAAAUAUUGGCGAGAGACCGAUAGCGAACAAGUACCGUGAGGGAAAGAUGAAAAGCACUUUGGAAAGAGAGUGAAACAGUACGUGAAAUUGUUGAAAGGGAAACGCUUGAAGUCAGUCGCGUCGACCGAGACUCAGCCUUGCCUUGGCUUGGUGUACUUCUCGGCCCGACGGGUCAGCAUCAAUUUUGCCCCUCGGAUAAUGGCAAGGGAAAGGUGGCACCUUUACGGGUGUGUUAUAGUCUCCUGUCGCAUGCGAGGGGUGGGAUUGAGGAACUCAGCGCGCGCCUCGGUGUCGGGGCUUCGGCCCACGUUACGCGCUUAGGAUGCUGGCAUAAUGGCUUUAAACGACCCGUCUUGAAACACGGACCAAGGAGUCCAACACACCCGCGAGUGUUCGGGUGGAAAACCCGUGCGCGUAAUGAAAGUGAAAGUUGGGACCUCUGUCGUGGAGGGCACCGACGCCCGGACCAGACCUUCUGUGACGGAUCUGCGGUAGAGCGUGUGUGUUGGGACCCGAAAGAUGGUGAACUAUGCCUGAAUAGGGUGAAGCCAGAGGAAACUCUGGUGGAGGCUCGUAGCGAUUCUGACGUGCAAAUCGAUCGUCAAAUUUGGGUAUAGGGGCGAAAGACUAAUCGAACCAUCUAGUAGC
rnacentral:rRNA from 1 species